rnacentral:rRNA from 1 species
CACGGGGGGAGCAAGCGUUGUUCGGAUUCAUUGGGCGUAAAGGGCUCGUAGGUGGCUUUGUAAGUCGGAGGUGAAAUCCCACGGCUCAACCGUGGACACGCCUUCGAAACUGUGAAGCUUGAGGCUGGGAGAGGAGAUCGGAAUUCCUGGUGUAGCGGUGAAAUUCGUAGAUAUCGGGAGGAACACCGGUGGCGAAGGCGGCGACCUGGGUCGACACUGACGCUGAGGCGCGAAAGCGUGGGGAGCGAACAGG